GAUGAACGCUGGCGGCGUGCCUAAUACAUGCAAGUCGAGCGAACGGACGAGAAGCUUGCUUUUCUGAUGUUAGCGGCGGACGGGUGAGUAACACGUGGAUAACCUACCUAUAAGACUGGGAUAACUUCGGGAAACCGGAGCUAAUACCGGAUAAUAUUUUGAACCGCAUGGUUCAAAAGUGAAAGACGGUCUUGCUGUCACUUAUAGAUGGAUCCGCGCUGCAUUAGCUAGUUGGUAAGGUAACGGCUUACCAAGGCAACGAUGCAUAGCCGACCUGGGAGGGGGGUCGGCCACACUGGAACUGGGACACGGUCCAGGCUCCUACGGGAGGGAGCAGUAGGGAAUCUUCCGCAAUGGGCGGAAGCCUGACGGAGGAACGGCGGGUGAGUGAUGAAGGUCUUCGGAUCGUAAAACUCUGUUAUUAGGGAAAAACAAAUGUGUAAGUAACUGAGCACAGCUUGACGGUACCUAAUCAAAAAGCCACGGCUAACUACGUG
rnacentral:rRNA from 1 species